rnacentral:rRNA from 1 species
GACGAACGCUGGCGGCGUGCCUAACACAUGCAAGUCGAGCGAGUGGAGUUCUUCGGAACAAAGCUAGCGGCGGACGGGUGAGUAACACGUGGGCAACCUGCCUCAUAGAGGGGAAUAGCCUCCCGAAAGGGAGAUUAAUACCGCAUAAGAUUGUAGCUUCGCAUGAAGUAGCAAUUAAAGGAGCAAUCCGCUAUGAGAUGGGCCCGCGGCGCAUUAGCUAGUUGGUGAGGUAACGGCUCACCAAGGCGACGAUGCGUAGCCGACCUGAGAGGGUGAUCGGCCACAUUGGGACUGAGACACGGCCCAGACUCCUACGGGAGGCAGCAGUGGGGAAUAUUGCACAAUGGGGGAAACCCUGAUGCAGCAACGCCGCGUGAGUGAUGACGGCCUUCGGGUUGUAAAGCUCUGUCUUCAGGGACGAUAAUGACGGUACCUGAGGAGGAAGCCACGGCUAACUACGUGCCAGCCGCCGUAACAC